rnacentral:rRNA from 1 species
CUAAAUGCGGAAGAGAUAAGUGCUGAAAGCAUCUAAGCACGAAACUUGCCCCGAGAUGAGUUCUCCCUGAGACUUAGAGUCUCCUGAAGGAACGUUGAAGACGACGACGUUGAUAGGCCGGGUGUGUAAGCGCAGCGAUGCGUUGAGCUAACCGGUACUAAUGAACCGUGAGGCUUAACCUUACAAUGCCGAAG